rnacentral:rRNA from 1 species
GACGAACGCUGGCGGCGUGCUUAACACAUGCAAGUCGAACGGAAAGGCCCUGCUUUUGUGGGGUGCUCGAGUGGCGAACGGGUGAGUAACACGUGAGUAACCUGCCCUUGACUUUGGGAUAACUUCAGGAAACUGGGGCUAAUACCGGAUAGGAGCUCCUGCUGCAUGGUGGGGGUUGGAAAGUUUCGGCGGUUGGGGAUGGACUCGCGGCUUAUCAGCUUGUUGGUGGGGUAGGGGCUUACCAAGGCUUUGACGGGUAGCCGGCCUGAGAGGGUGACCGGCCACAUUGGGACUGAGAGACGGCCCAGAGUCCUACGGGAGGCAGCGGUGGGGAAUAUUGCACAAUGGGCGGAAGCCUGAUGCAGCAACGCCGCGUGCGGGAUGACGGCCUUCGGGUUGUAAACCGCUUUCGCCUGUGACGAAGCGUGAGUGACGGUAAUGGGUAAAGAAGCACCGGCUAACUACGUG